rnacentral:rRNA from 1 species
GGAAUAUUGGUCAAUGGGGGCAACCCUGAACCAGCCAUGCCGCGUGCAGGAAGACGGCCCUACGGGUUGUAAACUGCUUUUAUACGGGAAUAAAUCACGCUACGUGUAGGGUGUUGAAUGUACUGUAAGAAUAAGGAUCGGCUAACUCCGUGCCAGCAGCCGCGGUAAUACGGAGGAUCCAAGCGUUAUCCGGAUUUAUUGGGUUUAAAGGGUGCGUAGGCGGCCUAUUAAGUCAGGGGUGAAAGACGGUGGCUCAACCAUCGCAGUGCCCUUGAUACUGAUGGGCUUGAUUACACUUGAGGUAGGCGGAAUGUGACAAGUAGCGGUGAAAUGCAUAGAUAUGUCACAGAACACCAAUUGCGAAGGCAGCUUACUAAGGUGUUAAUGACGCUGAGGCACGAAAGCGUGGGGAUCAAACAGGAUUAGAUACCCUGGUAGUCCACGCCCUAAACGAUGAAUACUCGAUGUUAGCGAUAUACAGUUAGCGUCAAAGCGAAAGCGUUAAGUAUUCCACCUGGGGAGUACGCCCGCAAGGGUGAAACUCAAAGGAAUUGACGG